GUGCUCACUUGGGCGGCACAUACACUAAAACUGGAACGAUACAGAGAAGACUAGCACGGCCCCUGCGCACGGAUGACGUGCAAAUUCAUGAAGCGUUCCAUAUUAAA